CACCAGCCCCUCGAGUGGUGGGGAUGAUUAUUUGGCCUAAAGCGUCCGUAGCCGGCCGGGUAAGUUUCCCGUUAAAUCCAGCGUCUCAGGCGUUGGACUGCGGGAAAUACUGCCUGGCUAGAGAGUGGGAGAGGUCAGCGGUAUUCUGGGGGUAGGGGCGAAAUCCUUUGAUCCCCGGAGGACCACCAGUGGCGAAGGCUGCUGACUAGAACACGUCUGACGGUCAGGGACGAAAGCUGGGGUAGCGAACCGGAUUAGAUACCCGGGUAGUCCCAGCCGUAAACGAUGCAUGCUAGGUGUUGGGUUGGCCACGAGCCGCCCCAGUGCCGCAGGGAAGCCGUUAAGCAUGCCGCCUGGGAAGUACGAUCACAAGAUUGAAACUUAAAGGAAUUGGCGGGGGAGCACCACCAGGCGUGAAGCCUGCGGUUU
rnacentral:rRNA from 1 species